rnacentral:rRNA from 1 species
ACUGCUCAGUAACACGUGGACAACCUGCCCUUAGGUUGGGUAUAAACCCGGGAAACUGGGUAUAAUACCCGAUAGGUCUCGAUUGCUGGAAUGCAUCGAGAUUUAAAGCUCCGGCGCCUAAGGAUGGGUCUGCGGCCUAUCAGGUAGUAGUGGGUGUAGCGUACCUACUAGCCUACGACGGGUACGGGUUGUGAGAGCAAGAGCCCGGAGAUGGAUUCUGAGACACGAAUCCAGGCCCUACGGGGUGCAGCAGGCGCGAAAACUUUACAAUGCUGGCAACAGCGAUAAGGGAACCUCGAGUGCCAGGUUACAAAUCUGGCUGUCGAGAUGCCUAAAAAGCAUUUCAUAGCAAGGGCCGGGCAAGACCGGUGCCAGCCGCCGCGGUAACACCGGCGGCUCGAGUGGUAACCGUUAUUAUUGGGUCUAAAGGGUCUGUAGCCGGCCGGAUAAGUCUCUUGAGAAAUCUGGCAGCUUAACUGUCAGGCUUUCAGGAGAUACUGUCUGGCUCGAGGCCGGGAGAGGUGAGAGGUACUUCAGGGGUAGGGGUGAAAUCUUGUAAUCCUUGAAGGACCACCAGUGGCGAAGGCGUCUCACCAGAACGGACCUGACGGCAAGGGACGAAAGCUAGGGGCACGAACCGGAUUAGAUACCCGGGUAGUCCUAGCCGUAAACGAUACUCGCUAGGUGUCGGCCACGGUGCGACCGUUGUCGGUGCCGUAGGGAAGCCAUGAAGCGAGCCACCUGGGAAGUACGGCCGCAAGGCUGAAACUUAAAGGAAUUGGCGGGGGAGCAC